UCUAGCACAUUUAUUACUAUACAUUUAUUACAUAUAUUGCAGGUUUCAGGCUCAGGGUUGUCUUUGAUAAUAAAAACGGAUGCAUAUAUUAUGUAUCCUGUUUGUCCCCUAUGAGAAGGCAAUGUAGCCUAUCACUGGCACAAGUUCGGCACAAUUAACAUCCACACACUUGACAGGAGAGUUAAUUCUUAUUAAGUGUGUGAUGGACCCCUAUCUACUCAUGACCAUGAAAUUUGUUUUUAGGACUUGCUGCAAAUACCUUUUAUUAUGUCCUUUGUAUUUCAAUGUAACAUUUGCCCCCAGAUAACUGUGAUUUUUAUCUUGUUUGCACCUAUAAAUAAAGUUAGCGAUUAAAUUUACAAUCUUGGAAUUCCCAUCCUGAAAAGUACUUUUAUAGUUGCCACAAUGAUAAAAUUAUAAGCAAGGAAGAUUUGUCUCUGGUGGGUAAGAGGGUGUGAGUGUAUCUAUGUAGGCCAAUCAAUGUGAAAAGGUUCUUGGGGUUGGUUUUCUGUAAGUGUACUUACAAAUUAUUCAGUCUUUCAGACCCACAUUCAGUUUUGCAUUCAGAUGCAGGCCUGGGUUGAGAAUGGGAGGAAAAUAAAGCUCUGAAGUGGGAUACCUAAUCAUAUGAAAGUUUGCAAUUUUGUUAGGAAUAAUAGAGAAGCAAUAUUGAGAGAGCUGUGGGGUUAAUGAACACGGAUGUGGCUUUCAUGUGCAAAUUUCUUUUGAUUAGAUGAAACAACAAUUCCCAGAGUUGGGACUGGUGUCCACACACCCAGGCCUGCAUCUGCAUGUAAAUGGCUUCAUUAGAGGCCAGAUCUGUGGGCACUGAUGAACUGUACAAGGCACUCAAAGAGUCUCCGCUUCAUGGGCUGCUUUCUUGCUGUGUCUGUUUCCUGUUCAGAAAAUAAGUGACUGCAGAUUGGAAACAUAUCCUUUUAUAUUUCCAAGUAAAAUUAAACUUCCUCAAAUAUACCUGUCAAUUAUCAAGAGUUUUCUUUGCUUCAGAGGAGCUCUUUUGAGGAGAGAGAUCAAGUCACGUGGAAAUUUUCUUCCCUCUCUAUAA
ensembl:lncRNA